ACUAUUCCUACUCAUGACAAUGACCUCCCUAGGCAACAUAACGUGGUCAAACCACGCUGAAAUAUCAAUAACGUUUCAGCCACCACGGAUCUCCAGACCCUGGUCCUGGAGAUUCAAUCCGAUAUUACUCCAUGACCCACAAAUCGUACAACAAAUCAAAACAGAACUAAAAAACUAUUUCGCCAUAAACAAGGAUUCAGUACAAUCAAAAGCAAUACUAUGGGCUGCUCAUAAAAUGGCCACAUAGAAAAAACUCUAGCAACCAUUAGGGACCUUGAAUCCCAACAUAAAAGCACCCCCACCCCAGACCUUACUACAUAACUCCAACACCAAAGACAGGUCCUCAGAAAUGCAAUGGCAGUAGACGCCACCAGAGCCCUCCAAUGGACAAAGCAAAUGUACUAUGAAAAGUCCAAUAAGGCUGACACGCCCCUGGCGCGCAGGCUGCGCAAGCGUAUCCAGACAAAGCAGAUAACACGCAUUCGCACACCAUUGGGACACAACACAGAGAUACCCACAAAAAUCACGGAGACAUUCCAACAAUACUUUGCAGACCUAUAUGACCACUCCCCUCAACACAGACCACGAACUGCCAACCUGUCGGACCGCAUCCUAACCUUUCUGGACCGAACCCACCUGCCCACACUAUCAGAUAGCGUGAUCACUCAAAUCUCCAUGGAGAUCUCAGAGCAAGAAGUAGCAACUGCGAUAGGGGCCACUAAACCCAACAAAAGCCCAGGACCAGACAGAUAUUCGGGCAUAUAUUACAAAACAUUCCAAGACACCCUCCUGCUCCACCUAGUACAACUAUACAACUCCCUGCUACAGGGACACCCACUUUCCAAAUAAAUGCUACAGGCCAACAUCUGCCUUCUACCCAAAC